UACGUAGGGUGCAAGCGUUGUCCGGAAUUAUUGGGCGUAAAGAGCUCGUAGGCGGUCUGUUGCGUCGGCUGUGAAAACCCGAGGCUCAACCUCGGGCCUGCAGCCGAUACGGGCAGACUAGAGUUCGGCAGGGGAGACUGGAAUUCCUGGUGUAGCGGUGAAAUGCGCAGAUAUCAGGAGGAACACCGGUGGCGAAGGCGGGUCUCUGGGCCGAUACUGACCCUGAGGAGCGAAAGCGUGGGGAGCGAACAGG
rnacentral:rRNA from 1 species